UACGGGGGGGGCAAGCGUUGUUCGGAAUUACUGGGCGUAAAGGGCUCGUAGGCGGCCAACUAAGUCAGACGUGAAAUCCCUCGGCUUAACCGGGGAACUGCAUCUGAUACUGGAUGGCUUGAGUUCGGGAGAGGGAUGCGGAAUUCCCGGUGUAGUGGUGAUAUGCGUAGAUAUCGGGAGGAACACCUGUGGCGAAGGCGGCUUUCUGGGCCUUACCUGACGCUGAGACGCGAAAGCGUGGGGAGCGAACCGG
rnacentral:rRNA from 1 species